AUGAUGGUUACUGCAGUCAGCCGAUUGCUGGUCAUGCUGCUCACCUUUGGCUGCGCACACGUUACCACCUGCAGCUCCUUGUAUGGAAGCGAGACAGACAUGCUGUCACUGCUUGAGUUCAAGAACUCAAUCAGUCAAGAUCCACAUCAAGCCUUUGCGUCGUGGAACGACAGCACCGACUUCUGUGACUGGGGAGGUGUUCGCUGCAGGAUGAAGAAUCCACGUCGAGUCACUUCUCUUGACCUUCCGUACAAAGGUUUGGUCGGGCAAAUCUCUCCGUCGCUCGGGAACCUAACAUUCCUGAAAUAUCUUGUCCUGUCGGACAACCGCUUCACCGCCGAGAUUCCUCCUUCCCUUGGUCAUCUUCGUCGCCUCCGGUAUCUCUACCUUAGUAAUAACACACUGCAAGGAGGCAUACCGAGUUUUGCGAAUUGUUCCAGUCUUGAGGAGAUACUGCUCAACGGCAAUAGUUUAGCUGGGAAGAUUCCUGCGGAUUGGCCUCCUAACCUUCAGUACAUGAGCCUUUCGGCUAAUAAUCUUGCUGGAACCAUCCCUGCCUCUCUUGCCAAUCUCACAAUGCUUAAAGAUUUCAGGAUCCUUUACAACAAGAUCGAGGGUGACAUACCGGAUGAGUUUGCAAAGUUAGAUGGUCUGCAGGGCUUGUUCGUCACAGCCAAUCGGUUGGCAGGUCGAUUUCCACAGGCCAUCUUGAAUCUUUCUACUCUCGUUGGUCUCAGCCUUGUUUCUAACAGUUUCAGAGGAGAGCUGCCUUCCAAUCUCGGUAACAGUCUACCAAAUCUCCAGGAACUAUAUUUAGGCGGUAACCUCUUUCAAGGGAAUAUCCCUGUUUCAUUGACAAAUGCUUCCAAGCUAUACCGUGUCGAUAUAUCAGCCAAUAAUUUGACCGGAGUUGUGCCAGGCUCUAUCGGCAAACUAACCAGACUUUCUCAUUUGAAUCUAGAGCUCAAUAAACUCGAAGCACAUGCCAAUAAAGACUGGCAGUUUAUGUAUAGCCUAGCGAAUUGCACUGAGCUACGACUUUUCUCGAUGCAUGGAAACCAUUUAGAAAGCCAUGUACCAGCUUCAUUAGGCAACCUUUCUGUUCACCUCGAAACACUCUACUUGGGAGGAAAUAAAUUGUCAGGGAGUUUUCCCCGUGGCAUAGAAAACUUUCCCAACCUGAUUCGCUUGGGAUUGGAAAGCAAUCAAUUUACUGGGGCAGUUCCGGAAUGGCUCGGGAGUCUCAGGAAUUUGCAGUUGUCUCGACUAGGGGUUCUAUAUCUACAUUCUAACAAGCUUGGUGGUCACAUACCCCCAAGCUUAGGAAGCCUCCAAAUGCUUCAAGCAUUACGCAUUGAUAAAAACGGUUUUAUUGGCAAAGUACCAAAGGAGAUCUUCAGAAUACCAACAAUAUUCGAAAUUGACUUAUCUUUCAACAACCUUGAUGGAGAACUUCCUAGCAACAUUGACAACGCCAAACAACUUACAUAUUUGCACGUUUCAUCCAAUAAACUAUCCGGGGAUAUUCCGCACACACUGGGCAACUGUAGAAGUUUGGAACGAGUUGAACUGGACAUGAACAGUUUUAGUGGAAACAUCCCCACUUCAUUCAGUGAACUGAGUGUCCUAGCAGUAUUGAACUUGUCAUACAAUGGCUUAAGUGGAUCAAUACCGGCGUCUUUUGGGGAUCUUCAGCUUCUUCAAGAAAUCGAUUUGUCAUUUAACCAUCUUGAGGGUGAGGCCCCAGCGAAAGGAAUUUUCAAUAAUGCAGCUGCUGUGAGGAUCCAUGGAAACCAGGGGCUUUGUGGUGGGGCACCGGAGUUACACCUACAUGCAUGUCCUUUUGUGCCUUUGGAUUCAGAUAAGAAGAAGCAAUCUAUUGUGGUGAAGCUAGUGAUUCCAGUAGCAAAUCGUGUUAGUUGUUGCGGCCAUUUAUGCUCUAUUGUUCUGUAG
rnacentral:rRNA from 1 species